GUCGUCGGCAGCGUCAGAUGUGUAUAAGAGACAGGGAGUCAGACUAUGUGAGAUAAGUUUCAUAGUCAAAAGGGAAAGAGCCCAGACCGACAGCUAAGGUCCCAAAGUGUGUGUUAAGUGGAAAAGGAUGUUAGGUUUCUAAGACAACUAGGAUGUUGGCUCAGAAGCAGCCACUCAUUUAAAGAGUGCGUAACAGCUCACUAGUCGAGAGGUCUAGCGCCGAAAAUGUCCGGGGCUAAAACACACCACCGAAGCUACGGAAUUGCCUAUGGUAAUUGGUAGAGGAGCAUUCUGUAAGGAUGAAGCACAAUUGAAAGAGAGUGUGGACGAAACAGAAGAGAGAAUGCCGGAAUGAGUAGCGAGAUAUAUGUGAGAAUCAUAUAGGUCGAAUGUCUAAGGUUUCCUGGGUAAAGCUGAUCUGCUCAGGGUAAGUCGGGACCUAAGGUGAGGGCGAGAGCCGUAAUCGAUGGACAACAGGUAGAAAUUCCUGUACUACGUAUAAUCAGAACUGUGGGGACGCAGGAGGAUAGGAAAACCGGAGAAUGGAAAUAUCCGGCUAAGUACAAAGGUGUGAGUGAUAGGCAAAUCCGUCACUAUUAGCUGAAGUACGAAUGGGAGCGAAGAAAAGUAGCGAAGUUUCUGAAUCCACACUGUCAAGAAAAGCCGCUAUUGCGUUAUACGUACCCGUACCGCAAACCGACACAGGUAGACGAGGAGAAAAUCCACAGACCGACGGGAGAAGUGUUGUUAAGGAACUCGGCAAAAUGACCCCGUAACUUAGGGAUAAGGGGAGCCAACGCAAGUUGGUCACAGAAAAGAGGCUCAAGCGACUGUUUAGCAAAAACAUAGGUCUAUGCGAAACCGUAAGGUGAUGUAUAUGGGCUGACACCUGCCCGGUGCUGGAAGGUCAAAAGGAGAGGUUAGCGUAAGCGAAGCUUUGAAUUUAAGCCCCAGUAAACGGCGGCCGUAACUAUAACGGUCCUAAGGUAGCGAAAUUCCUUGUCAGGUAAGUUCUGACCCGCACGAAAGGUGUAACGAUUUGAGCACUGUCUCGACAACACGCCCGGUGAAAUUGAAGAACCAGUGAAGAUACUGGUUACCCGCAACAGGACGGAAAGACCCCAUGGAGCUUUACUGCAGCUUAAUAUUGGGAUUCGGUAUUGUAUGUACAGGAUAGGAGGGAGACUAAGAAGCUAGCACGCCAGUGUUGGUGGAGUCGAUGGUGGGAUACCUCUCUUAUAAUACUGAAUUUCUAACCUACUUCCGUGAUCCGGAAGAGGGACAUUGUUAGGCGGGCAGUUUGACUGGGGCGGUCGCCUCCGAAAGAGUAACGGAGGCGCUCAAAGGUCUUCUCAGAAUGAUUG
rnacentral:rRNA from 1 species